CGCACAUUGCGCCCGCCAGCAUUCUGGCGGGCAUGCCUGUUCGAGCGUCAUUUCAACCCUCAAGCACCGCUUGGCGUUGGGGCCCUACGGUCGACGUAGGCCCCGAAAUACAGUGGCGGACCCUCCCGGAGCCUCCUUUGCGUAGUAACAUACCACCUCGCACUGGGAUCCGGAGGGACUCCUGCCGUUAAACACCCCACUUUCCAAAGGUUGACCUCGGAUCAGGUAGGAAUACCCGCUGAACUUAA
rnacentral:misc_RNA from 1 species